UCAUAAUGGGUAGUUAACAAGACUACCUUUGAUUCUUUCACCUGCUCAGUACCUUUAUGAGUCAUCCGGAGACAAUCCCAAAUCUCCUUGGUGGAUUCACAGGCGGAGAUACGAUUAUAUUCUUCAGCACCAAUCCCACACACUAGUAACUUCUUGGCUUUAUAGCUUUUCUCGAUCUUCUUUCGGUCAGCUUCAUCAUACUGUUGACGAGUAUUUGGAAUAACUCUUGUGAUUUCACCUUCAUUAACCUCUUUUGUGGGUAUGAAAGGACCAUCUAGCACAAUGUCCCAUAGUUCAGUGUCUUCCGCCAUCAAGAAGUCGUGCAUCCUCG
rnacentral:lncRNA from 1 species